GGGGGUGUCAAGGUUUCGACUUGGAAACAAAGUAUGGGUGGCAUGUAGAGGACAAUCGUUGGCCUCUUAAAAUAUCCGAUUAAAUAUAAACGACAACUCUAAAAUUGUCAGCUUCUCAGGUUUUACCGAAGAAGCGUUUGCUAACGCGGCCUAAUAGCCGUUGAAGCACAGUAGCCUAGGAUCAGACCGAGAGUCCUAGAUGUUCUACUGUUAUACAUCUUGGUAUGAACCCCUCGUUCUUGAGUGAUCUUGAAGGGAGUUCGAGAUAUAAGAUAGCUCGGAAGGCCUCAAGUAGUGCGCUUACUAGCAAGGCUCCCUAAACACCCUAAGCGCUAAGCAUGUAGUCAUCUGUAUGGAGUUUGCUAAGGACGAGAGUUCGAUUCUCUCCACCUCCAA
rnacentral:tmRNA from 1 species